UGUUCAACAGCUCGUCGACAGCUUUCUCCAGAAGAAUAAUUACUACUGCUCUGCUCUUGCCAUAGUACCAGAAUUCUGUGACCUACGCACCAGUGCUGAACCAGCAGAGUCGCGUUCUGUCCCUUCUGUGUAGAUGGAACGGGCGUCGCUCUGGGGAGCCCCUCCUGAUUUAAAGCUGCUUACUUGUUUUUUUUGGGAUUAAAGGUGCUCGAUGAAUCAGGGCCCCCCAAAUGAGUCAAACGGCCAAUUCCUGCCAGCAGUUGGUUGAAAACUGCCCCGCGCACGUGGCGGGGAUGGCCCAGGAGGACAGUCGCCGGGGUCAAGUGCCACCCACCUUCUAUCACGGUGCCAGCCAGGAACUCGACCUGUCCACCAAAGUGUACAAGAGAGAGUCAGGAAGUCCUUACUCUGUGCUGGUGGACAGCAAAAUGAGUAAACCACACCUCCAUGAAAGAGAGGAGCAGCCAUAUUUCAGGGAGAACAGAUCGGUAGGAGAGGUCCGGGCUGUGAAAGAAGAUAGAGAAAACUCUGACGACUCUGAGGAGGAAGAAGAGGAGGAAGAUGAAGUGACUUACAAAAGGGAGCAGAUUAUAGUAGAGGUAAACCUUAACAACCAAACCUUAAAUGUAUCAAAAGGGGAGAAGGGUGUCCCCUCCCAGUCCAAAGAGACUGCUGUUCUUAAGACCAGCAGUGAGGAAGAGGAGGGUGAGAGUGGGGAAGAGGCCACUGAAGACAGUGAUGAUUAUGAGGAAAUUGAGAGGCAGAAGAAAAAAGAGAAAAGAGUGGAAAAAGUUAGUGUUGCACAAAGGAGAACAAGGAGAGCUGCAUCUGCUGCAGCAGCCACAACUUCCCCAUCACCCAGAACUACAAGGGGUCGUAGCAAGAGUGUGGAGCCCCCCAAGCGUAAGAAGAAAGCUGCAAAGGAGCCCAAGGCACCUGUGCAGAAAUCAAAGUGUGAAGAGAAGGAGACUUUAACCUGUGAGAAGUGCCCCAGGGUGUUUAACACACGCUGGUACCUGGAGAAGCACAUGAACGUCACUCACAGGCGCAUGCAGAUCUGCGACAAAUGUGGGAAGAAAUUUGUUCUAGAAAGUGAGCUGUCCCUUCACCAGCAAACAGACUGUGAAAAAAAUAUCCAGGUAGGUUUGCUCACCUGCUUGCCAGAUUUCCAUACCUUCUGUCGUGCCCUGGAUACAGCUAGUGGACACUUCAGAGGGGGAAAUCUUUUGCGCAGACCAGGUCCUGACCGAGACCUUGUCUCUACGUAUCAACACUUUGGUGUCUUCCAAGAGAAGUGA